rnacentral:ncRNA from 1 species
GUGUUGUACAAAAGGAGAGAAGGCUGGCACUCCCCGUGACAAGGAUGGGGAGUGCUAACAUGCAUACAGCUAAGGCACUGCCACCUACUUCGGGGCAUCUAACCAGUUUUUUAU